GACGAACGCUGGCGGCGUGCUUAACACAUGCAAGUCGAACGAAGUGGCGAACGGGUGAGUAACGCGUAAUCAACCUGCCCUUAGGAGGGGACCAACAGUUGGAACCAACGGCUAUUCCCGCAUCCGAAAGGGGGGGCUUGCGUCUGAUUGGCUAGUUGGGGGGGUAACGGCCCACCAAGGCGAUGAUAAGUAGCCGGUCUGAGAGGAGGAACGGCCACAUUGGGACUGAGACACGGCCCAGACUCCUACGGGAGGCAGCAGUGGGGAAUCUUCCGCAAUGGACGAAAGUCUGACGGAGCAACGCCGCGUGAGUGAUGACGGCCUUCGGGUUGUAAAGCUCUGUUAAUCGGGACGCGGUACCGGAAUAGAAAGCCACGGCUAACUACGUGCCAGCAGCCGCGGUAAUAC
rnacentral:rRNA from 1 species